CUCUCCUCUGAGCUUGUGAUAAAGGAUCUUCAUAAUGACAUAAAUUUGUUGUUGGAGGUGAAGGGGAAACUCGAAAAUGAUGUAGGGUUCCAUGUGGAAGAAAAAGAAGCUCUUCAGAAAGACCUUAGUUGGCACAAAGAAGAAACCAACAGAUUAAAUGAACACAAUCUCUCCUACGAGAUUACGAUAAAGGAUCUUCAUAAUGACCUAAACUCGUUGAAGGAGGCAAAGGAGAAGCUUGAAAAUGAUGUAGGGUUCCACGUAGAAGAAAAGGAAGCUCUUCGGAAAGACCUUAGUUGGCACAAAGAAGAAAUCAACAGAUUAAAUGAACACAAUCUCUCCUCCGAGCUUGUGAUAAAGGAUCUUCAUAAUGAUCUAAACUCGUUGAAGGAGGCGAAGGAGAAGCUUGAAAAUGAUGUAGGGUUCCAUGUUGAAGAAAAAGAAACUCUUCACAAUGACCUUAGUCGGCACAAAGAAGAAAUCGACAGAUUAAAUGAACAGAACCUCUCCUCCGAGCUUAUGAUAAAGGGUCUUCAUAAUGACGUAAACUCGUUGAAGGAGGCAAAGGAAAAGCUUGAAAAUGAUGUACGGUUUCAUGUAGAAGAAAAGGAACCUCUUUGGAAAGACCUUAGUUGGCACAAAGAAGAAAUCAACAGAUUAAAUAAACACAAUCUCUCCUCCGAGCUUAUGAUAAAGGAUCUUCAUAAUGACCUAAACUCGUUGAUGGAGGCAAAGGAGAAACUUGAAAAUGAUGUAGGGUUCCAUGUUGAAGAAAAAGAAACUCUUCAGAAAGACCUCAGUCGGCACAAAGAAGAAAUUGACAGAUUAAAUGAACACAACCUCUCCUCUGAGCUUAUGAUAAAGGAUCUUCAUAAUGAUGUAAACUCGUUGAAGGAGGCAAAGGAGAAGUUUGAAAGUGAUUUAAGGUUCCAUGUAGAAGAAAAGGAAGCUCUUCAGAAAGACCUUAUUCAGCGUAAAGAAGAAAUUGAUAGAUUAAAUGAGCACAUUCUUUCUUCUGAGCUCAGGAUAAAGGAUUUCCAAAAGGACAUAAAUUCGUUAAGGGAAGCAAAGGAAAGGCUCGAAGAUGAUGUAGGGUUGUAUUUAGAAGAAAAAGCAGCUCUUCAGAAAGACCUUAAUCAGAAAAAAGAAGAAAUCGAUGGCCUAAAGGAACAAAAUCUCUCCUCUGUGCACAUGAGAGAAGAUCUCCAUAACGAAAUAAAUUUAUUGAAGGAAACAAAGGAGAAGCUCGAAAGUGAAGUGGGGUUCCAUUUAGGAGAAAAAGCUGUUCUUCAGGAAGACCUUAAUCGGCACAAAGAAGAAAUU
rnacentral:lncRNA from 1 species